UACGUAGGGUGCAAGCGUUUAAUCGGGAAUUACUGGGCGUAAAGCGUGCGCAGGCGGCUUUGCAAGACAGAUGUGAAAUCCCCCGGGGCUUAACCUGGGAACUGCAUUUGUGACUGCAGGGCUGGAGUGCGGCAGAGGGGGGAUGGAAUUCCGCGUGUAGCAGUGAAAUGCGUAGAUAUGCGGAGGAACACCGAUGGCGAAGGCAAUCCCCUGGACCUGUACUGACGCUCAUGCACGAAAGCGUGGGGGAGCAAACAGG
rnacentral:rRNA from 1 species